rnacentral:lncRNA from 1 species
UGGGAGGUAAUAUCAUAGAUAUACAUACUUACUUUAGUAAUUACUUAUGAUUAAAUAGAAGUAAAUAAAAAUAAAUAAAAAUUAAUUAAUUUCAUAAUAUCUUCCAGAGAAGCUUCAUAGAUAUAAUUAUGACUAUUUACAUAUUUAUAAUUAAAUUUUAAAUUAAAAAAUUAAUCAACAAAUUAACCACAUAUUAUACAUGUAGAUAACCUGUGGAAUAAAUUAACUAUGUAGCGCACAUAUAGAAAACUUAAUUUGUAAGUUAAGACAUAUGGUUUAUUAAUUCAACACAUAUUAGAAGUCUUAUAAAACAUUGCCAUAUAAUUCUUAGGUGGAUAGUUUGUAUAGAAACAAAAGUGAAGCUUUUUUCACUCUUAUCAAUUUUCUCCUUGCUCUAAUUUAGAUUCAAAAUUCUUUAAUUUUUUAAUCUUUUGCCAAUAGCCAUUCUAAUUUCUUUUUGAUAUAAAUAUAAUAUUACUUUUAUUUUAUCAUACUUCUUUGAAAAAAGUUUCAUUUAGUUAUUUGUAUUCUUAACAAGCAAAUGUACUAGUAUCAAAGAAGCCAUUAUAAUAAAAAUAUAUGAAAAAGUGAUGUAAACUAGGGUCACUUAAAAGAAUUGAAGGCUGAGCUUCUUAGUGAGAAGGAAAAAUAUUGUUUAGGAAGGCAAUAUCAUGAGAAAUGAGUAAAGCACUUAUAAGUUUGUUUUGUAUUUUAAAAGCCUUCUUGAGAGAACUAUACCUAAAUAAAAUACAUUCACAAGUUUUUGUUGUAAGCUUAACUUGAAGAAGAUUAGGAAUUCUUACAAAACAUAUGCUUCUAAAGACACAAAGAUGAGUAAGAUUAGUUUUGUAUUGAUAUCAUUUCCUAAAAAGACUUAUA